CCUACGGGAGGCAGCAGUGGGGAAUAUUGGACAAUGGGCGAAAGCCUGAUCCAGCAAUUCCGCGUGUGUGAAGAAGGCCUUCGGGUUGUAAAGCACUUUAGUUGGGGAAGAAACAGCUUGGCCACACCAAGCCUUGACGGUACCCAAAGAAUAAGCACCGGCUAACUCUGUGCCAGCAGCCGCGGUAAUACAGAGGGUGCAAGCGUUAAUCGGAUUUACUGGGCGUAAAGGGUGCGUAGGUGGUUUUGUAAGUCGGAUGUGAAAGCCUGGGGCUCAACCUCAGAAUUGCACUCGAUACUGCAAGACUAGAGUUCGGUAGAGGGCGGCGGAAUUCCCGGUGUAGCGGUGAAAUGCGUAGAUAUCGGGAGGAACGUCAAUGGCGAAGGCAGCCGCCUGGGCCUGAACUGACACUGAGGCACGAAAGCGUGGGUAGCAAACAGGAUUAGAUACCCUGGUAGUCCACGCUGUAAACGAUGAGAACUUGACGUUGGUUCGUUUUACGAAUCGGUGUCGCAGCUAACGCGAUAAGUUCUCCGCCUGGGGAGUACGGCCGCAAGGUUGAAACUUAAGAUAGUGCGNGNGAGNGCGACGACGACGACGAGGAGGAGG
rnacentral:rRNA from 1 species